rnacentral:misc_RNA from 1 species
GAUGAAGAACGCAGCGAAAUGCGAUACGUAAUGUGAAUUGCAAAUUCAGUGAAUCAUCGAGUCUUUGAACGCACAUUGCGCCCCCUGGUAUUCCGGGGGGCAUGCCUGUCCGAGCGUCAUUGCUGCCCUCAAGCACGGCUUGUGUGUUGGGCCCCGUCCUCCGAUCCCGGGGGACGGGCCCGAAAGGCAGCGGCGGCACCGCGUCCGGUCCUCGAGCGUAUGGGGCUUUGUCACCCGCUCUGUAGGCCCGGCCGGCGCUUGCCGAUCAACCCAAAUUUUUAGCCAGGUUGACCUCGGAUCAGGUAGGGAUUCCCGCUGAACUUAAGCAUAUCAAUAAGCGGAGGA